ensembl:rRNA 5S_rRNA 5S ribosomal RNA
CUAGGUGCCCCCUUUUGGCAUCUACGGCAAUGCCAUGCCAUUCUGCUUUUGGAAGCUACACAGGGUCCUACCAGGCCAGUACUUGGAUGGGAGAGCACCUGGGAAUACUGAGGUGUCUGGA